rnacentral:lncRNA from 1 species
GUCUACUCAAGAAAUAACACAGCAUUUUGUGUAAUUCUGAUAAUUUAAUGUAGAUAUUAAUAGGUCAAGCUUAAUGCCUUAAAAGUGAUUUUGAAAUAAAACCAGAUGAAACUUUAAAUGCUAAACUAAGUCUUGGAAUAAUAACUAGGACUACUAUGUAUUUUGUGAGUUGAAAAAUACUCCAGCUCUGUCCUAAAAAUUAUUUCUUCCCUUUAAAUUAUAAUUUUAUGAUGGAUUUUUGUCUAUUGUUCACUGAAAAAUUAUAUUCCCUGGAAUUACUACAUUUCCAUUUCCACAGGGCUGGAAUGUAUUGCUUUAGUGGAAUAUGUCUCCAUGGGCUGGCAAUACGAAAGAUGUGAAGGACUUCCUGUGUGGCUGACGAUCUGAAGGGAAGAGCCACAGAAGGAGACCUUACAGAGCACAGUGCACUGCAAUGAUUGCCUGUCCAGCAGCUGGCGGAGAAGGGGUGCCAGGAGGUCCUUCUCCUCAGAUGGGCUUGCUUCACAUCGUCCUUGGCCCUUUAAGGAAUACUCUGUGCAUGAGGCAUGCCAGAUGCAAUAUGUUGGAAUGUGGAAAUCUUCCUCCUAAGUACUGUUCUGAGACCAGAACCUGCACCCUUGCCUCACUGAUACUGCUGCAGAAGUGCUAGCUGUUGCUGAGGUAAAAAAAUUCCUUUUGAAAGGUUAGAUUCUUCAAGUUUUGUAGUGGCUGAAAUAGAUGAUGUGU